GACGAACGCUGGCGGCGUGCUUAACACAUGCAAGUCGAACGGAAAGGCCCUGCUUUUGUGGGGUGCUCGAGUGGCGAACGGGUGAGUAACACGUGAGUAACCUGCCCUUGACUUUGGGAUAACUUCAGGAAACUGGGGCUAAUACCGGAUAGGAGCUCCUGCUGCAUGGUGGGGGUUGGAAAGUUUCGGCGGUUGGGGAUGGACUCGCGGCUUAUCAGCUUGUUGGUGGGGUAGUGGCUUACCAAGGCUUUGACGGGUAGCCGGCCUGAGAGGGUGACGGGCCACAUUGGGACUGAGAUACGGCCCAGACUCCUACGGGAGGCAGCAGUGGGGAAUAUUGCACAAUGGGCGGAAGCCUGAUGCAGCAACGCCGCGUGCGGGAUGACGGCCUUCGGGUUGUAACCCGCUUUCGCCUGUGACGAAGCGUGAGUGACGGUAAUGGGUAAAGAAGCACCGGCUAACUACGUG
rnacentral:rRNA from 1 species